rnacentral:rRNA from 1 species
UUGCACGCUGGCGGCAUGCUUUACACCUGCCAGUCGAACGGCAGCGCGGGCUUCGGCCUGGCGGCGAGUGGCGAACGGGUGAGUAAUGCAUCGGAACGUGCCCAGUAGUGGGGGAUAGCCCGGCGAAAGCCGGAUUAAUACCGCAUACGACCUGAGGGUGAAAGCGGGGGACCGAAAGGCCUCGCGCUAUUGGAGCGGCCGAUGUCGGAUUAGCUAGUUGGUGGGGUAAAGGCUUACCAAGGCGACGAUCCGUAGCUGGUCUGAGAGGACGACCAGCCACACUGGGACUGAGACACGGCCCAGACUCCUACGGGAGGCAGCAGUGGGGAAUUUUGGACAAUGGGGGCAACCCUGAUCCAGCCAUGCCGCGUGCGGGAAGAAGGCCUUCGGGUUGUAAACCGCUUUUGUUCGGGAAGAAAUCCUCUGGGCUAAUACCCCGGGGGGAUGACGGUACCGGAAGAAUAAGCACCGGCUAACUACGUG